rnacentral:tRNA from 1 species
GGAGUUGCGGCUCUGUGGUGGACCAUCUGCAGUCGUAAAGCAUGCAGAAAAUCCUGGGUUCGAUCCCCAGCAUCUCCA